UACGUAGGGGGCAAGCGUUGUCCGGAUUUACUGGGCGUAAAGGGCGCGUAGGCGGCCACCGCAAGUCGGUUGUGAAAUCUCUGGGCUUAACCCAGAAAGGUCAAUCGAUACUGCGGGGCUAGAGUGCAGAAGGGGCAACUGGAAUUCUCGGUGUAGCGGUGAAAUGCGUAGAUAUCAGGAGGAACACCGAUGGCGAAGGCAGCUCGCUGGGACGGUACUGACGCUGAGGCGCGAAAGCGUGGGGAGCGAACAGG
rnacentral:rRNA from 1 species